GCUAAUAGGGGUGGUGAGCCGGCCCUUGUGAUAUAGGGGUUGUAAGAUUUGAUUUUUGUUGGUA
rnacentral:tRNA from 1 species